rnacentral:rRNA from 1 species
UACGUAGGGUCCGAGCGUCGUCCGGAAUUAUUGGGCGUAAAGGGCUCGUAGGCGGUUUGUCGCGUCGGGAGUGAAAACAUCUGGCUUAACUGGGUGCUUGCUUUCGAUACGGGCAGACUGGAGGUAUGCAGGGGAGAACGGAAUUCCUGGUGUAGCGGUGAAAUGCGCAGAUAUCAGGAGGAACACCGGUGGCGAAGGCGGUUCUCUGGGCAUUACCUGACGCUGAGGAGCGAAAGUGUGGGGAGCGAACAGG